rnacentral:sRNA from 1 species
CCACCCAGCGCACAGUGCAGAAAAACGCCAAGUACAUCUGCCUGGCUAACAAGGACUGCCCUGUGGACAAGAGGCGGCGAAACCGCUGCCAGUUCUGCCGCUUCCAGAAGUGCCUGGCGGUGGGCAUGGUGAAGGAAGUUGUCCGAACAGACAGCCUGAAGGGGCGGCGGGGCCGGCUACCUUCAAAACCCAAGCAGCCCCCAGAUGCCUCCCCUGCCAAUCUCCUCACUUCCCUGGUCCGUGCACACCUGGACUCAGGGCCCAGCACUGCCAAACUGGACUACUCCAAGGUGAGGUCCCACCCCGCAUCUGCCUUGGGGAGGUCUAUGAGCACAUGCAGUGCCUUUGUGCGUGUUGGGAGAGCUACCUCCUCUGGAAGGACUAAAUGAGAAAGGAAGUUUAAAAAAGAAAGAAAGAAAAGUUACUCCCUCUAGUUUGACAGAUCAAAGAGAGGAGCCCCUUCUCGGCUGACCAGAUGGGAAAAUGCACCCCCUCAGGCA